UGGAAAAUGUGCCGAUCCAUCUUCACGAUU
rnacentral:piRNA from 1 species